rnacentral:sRNA from 2 species
UGAAGCAGUAUGCCGAAUUUUCGUGAAGAAAAACGGGGGAACCAUUCCGGGUGAAUGAAUCUUGCUUGAGAGGAUUCUAGGGAACCUUCAACCGAACCCACAGCUAACUUCGUAGGCAUCCGAAGGGAGAACAU